CUCCAUAGACCUAUUACAGAACUUAAAAGAUGGCGAUAAUUUUACCGAGGUAAUUAGGAUCUCAGUGGACUGAAAUGAACAUUAAAAAACAUUAUGAUAAUUCAAGAACAAUGAGUAGCAAAAAAAAAAAAAAAAAAAACCACAUCAACAUAGUAGCGUAUCAUUCAUACAUGCGUCAUUACAAACAGUUAAAGAAGUUUAGACUUACAAUCUUGAAUGAUCACGACAUACAAACCGUUGGAUCAUCGUCCUAACACAUCAACUUUUACAUUUCAUUUUCUGAAACUCGUUUCCCUUUGCAUAUGUUUCUUUGGAGAGAAAUCUCCAGGUCUUUUUCCUUGCUUAGCUUAGCAAGCGUUUUCGACAUAUGCGACAAGUAUCCACGUCUUCACCUGCAGUUGUGAUGCAACCUGAUUCACCAUCAUCAUGCAAUAGACACUUUUCAUCGAGGAAUUUGUUGCGCCAUUUGAAGUACCUACAGUCACGAGUACAACAAUGAAACAACAAUCUUUUAUGGUCAUUGCUCUUUUCGACAAUUUGGGCAUCUUCUCUUUGUCGGGCAUUCCGAUAGUGUAUGUCCCCUCUGUCGACAACAAUGACAUAUUCCCCCAUUCUUGCGUGCCAUCGAACUUAUCUAAUUCAACGACAUGAAACAACUACACCAAUAUGUAACCAUAUUAGUAUCUUCACUAAUUUGGAUAAAGGCAAUAGGACAGGCAAUAACAAACAGAAAGGCAGCGAGAUAUUUCAUUUUUAUUAACUUUCCAUGGUAUAUUACUGAUAGCAAAUAUUGCAAACCCAAUGGCUACUGAAAUCUACACUUUAUGGACCUAUAAAGAGAUUAUGAAGUUAAGUAACUUUGGCAGAGUAUAGAAUGCACCAGCAAGAACAAUAAUUUUCCACUUAUGAAAAUGGUCUCAACUAUGAGAAAGAACAAGAAUAGUCAUAACAAGUGAUAUCCUUACAAUCAAAUGUAGUGUAACUUUCUAGUACUUUUUGAUAGCCAGAUACUCAUACCUUUUCAUUUUCCCCUUUCUUUCCAAAUUGGUUUUAACUCAAUGCCUCUCCAUAACUUUCCUUGUGUAUUCACAUAUGGUAGCAAGGUUUUAAAUCUAAUUUUAAUUGUCUUCGGUUCAUCUACAAUUGACAGGAGCAGAAACUAAAUUCACCUAAAAUUUACGAACUUUUCUACUCCCAUUAGCUUCUUUUUUACAGAAAGAAAUCAUAAGCAAAUUAAAACAUGAUUCAAAAUCCUACUCGGAAAAACCUUUUAUUAACUUUGCAUAUAUUCGGUAAUAACGUAUUCAAAAACCUAAUCUCUACUCUCCCAAAAUUAAGUAAUGCCAAACGUUAGACAAAAAUAUCUCAAGCGAAAUUGAAACAAUUGGAGAAAACUUACAGCGAAAACAACAUAAAAAUCACAGAAAAUGUUUAACCCCUAUACAAACAUUAAUUCUUCAUUAUUCAGCCCGACCCGUUGAGGAAAAUAAACACCGACCCGUUGGAAAAAAUAUUUUAUAAGCGUCAAGCCACUACUUCUCUUUCCGUUCAGCCCGUGAUCGGAGGAGGCGAUUAUUCGGGUUGUCGCCUGGAUUUAUGGUUGGCUCUGCGUUAUUCUUCGUCAAUGGGUGUCACCUGGAUUUAUUGUUGGCCAGCUACACAUACAAGGAGAAGAAAUCGUAGAUUUGAGAGGAUUCGAUUUGGGGAAGAUAUUGAGAGGUUUCGAUUUGGGGAUGAAAUGAAGCAAAUGGGAGACAAACUUGGGCUUCAGUCGGGUCAGCCACCGUAAACAGUCAUUUAAACACCUUUUUUUUUUUCUUUUCAUUUUCCAUGUCAGCACUGUACACAAAGCUGUGC
rnacentral:lncRNA from 1 species